UUAACUUCAGGCCCUGUUUACACGAAUACACUCGCGGGUAAAAACCGUAAAAAUAUUUUAUCAGAUGUGCUUUUCGUUUAGACGGCGACGGCGUUUUUGGGGCUUAAAAACGCAAAUAAGUGAAACCACCCUCCAGAGUGGAAAUCUUAAAAACGCCUCACAGUCACGUUCCCGUCUUAAGGGUAAAAAC